rnacentral:rRNA from 1 species
AGUUCGUGGAAUAAUUUGUCUGGUUAAUUCCGUUAACGAACGAGACUUUAACUCGCUAAUUUGUAUCCUUUGCCAUGUGCAUAGGUGCUAAUCAGAAGGACUGCAUAUUCCUAGUAUGAGGAAGCGUGAAGCAAUAACAGGU